AUGUGAUCGUCUCUCGCAUAUCAAUAAGCGGAGGAAAAGAAACUAACAAGGAUUCCCCUAGUAACGGCGAGUGAAGCGGGAAGAGCUCAAAUUUGAAAUCUUAAAGGGUUUCCCUUUACGAAUUGUAGUUUAAAGAAGUGUUUUCUGUUGAGGUUUUGGUAAAAGUUCUUUGGAAUAGGACAUCAUAGAGGGUGAGAAUCCCGUAUUUGACCUUUACUUUCAACUUUGUGAUACACUUUCAAAGAGUCGGAUUGUUUGGGAAUGCAGUCCAAAAUGGGUGGUAAAUUUCAUCUAAAGCUAAAUAUUGGCGAGAGACCGAUAGCGAACAAGUACCGUGAGGGAAAGAUGAAAAGAACUUUGAAAAGAGAGUUAAACAGUACGUGAAAUUGUCAAAAGGGAAGCGUUUGACACCAGUGUUGUUUUUCUGAAAAUCAAUUAAAGAACUGUUUAUGCUAAGCUGUUUAGACUUUAUCAGCUAUCUGUUUAGUUUUGAGCUUUUCUUUAAUGCACUUUUCAGUUAACAAGUCAACAUCAAUUUCUUUUGCUGUAAAAAAGCUUGAGGAAGGUGGCUUGAGAUUCGUCUUAAGUGUUUAUAGCCUCUUGCCUAUGCAGUCGGAGAGAUUGAGGUCUGCAGCGUAGAUCCUUCGGGGCUAAAUGCAUUUGUGCUAAGUUAUAGCAUUUUAUAGACAACUUGUUGACUAUGAUUUGUCUUGUAGCUUACUCGCUUAUGUUAUUUUACCUACGCUUAGGAUGUUGAUCUGUAGUGCGUGCGC
rnacentral:rRNA from 1 species